rnacentral:rRNA from 1 species
UACGUAGGGAGCAAGCGUUGUCCGGAAUCAUUGGGCGUAAAGCGCGCGUAGGCGGCCCUGUAAGUCCGUUGUGAAAGUCAAAGGCUCAACCUUUGAAAGCCGAUGGAUACUGCAGGGCUAGAGUCCGGAAGAGGCGAGUGGAAUUCCUGGUGUAGCGGUGGAAUGCGCAGAUAUCAAGAGGAACACCAAUAGCGAAGGCAGCUCGCUGGGACGGUACUGACGCUAAGGCGCGAAAGCGUGGGGAGCGAACAGG